AGCGUACUAUAUAGAAGGGUAUAUUCUACUCUGCGUCUAUGGCCUGGCAUGACAAAAAUGUCACCACCAGCACCAAUAAGUAGCAACAACAACACGCGCAAGCUAUACCUGAAACAUAUCCUUAUGUUGGAAAGAAUGCAUGAAGUUCCUAAAAUUCAACUCAUGUUCAACGACGGCACGAGGUGACCAGGUCAUUAUGAACUCAUGUGCGACUAAUUCUCUUACAGACCGUCUGUUGCCGAUGUAAAGUAUAAAUGUGUGUAUGUAACGGUGCACAAAGUUAUGAAUUCGAAUGCUUGAGAGACUUACCUGAAAGAUAAGAAAGAGAG